UACGGGGGGGGCUAGCGUUGUUCGGAAUUACUGGGCGUAAAGGGCGCGUAGGCGGCCAUUCAAGUCGGAGGUGAAAGCCCGGGGCUCAACCCCGGAACUGCCUUUGAAACUAGAUAGCUAGAAUCUUGGAGAGGUCAGUGGAAUUCCGAGUGUAGAGGUGAAAUUCGUAGAUAUUCGGAAGAACACCAGUGGCGAAGGCGACUGACUGGACAAGUAUUGACGCUGAGGUGCGAAAGCGUGGGGAGCAAACAGG
rnacentral:rRNA from 1 species